rnacentral:rRNA from 1 species
GUGCCAGCCGCCGCGGUAAUACGUAGGGGGCAAGCGUUGUCCGGAAUUAUUGGGCGUAAAGCGCGUGUAGGCGGUCCACUAAGUCGGCUGUGAAAGUCCAGGGCUCAACCCUGGGAUGCCGGUCGAUACUGGUGGACUAGAGUCCGGAAGAGGCGAGUGGAAUUCCCGGUGUAGCGGUGAAAUGCGCAGAUAUCGGGAGGAACACCAAUGGCGAAGGCAGCUCGCUGGGACGGUACUGACGCUGAGACGCGAAAGCGUGGGGAGCAAACAGGAUUAGAUACCCUGGUAGUCC